CCCUCCCUCUCUCCUUCACUGUCCUUUGGAGGUAGGAGGAGGAGGAUCAUUAUUCCAUUAGUUAAUUUAUAAUGUCUGUUGAUACUCAAUGGAAUACUUCACUGGACGAUAAAGGAGGAGAUAUUAAUGGAGACACACCCCCAUCUCCUCUGGAGAAGUAACAACAACAACAAUAAACAACAAACAAGUAAACAAACAAGAGGAGGAGGAGACAGUAAUACAGGACAAGUUAAAGUAGAUUUUGUUGUCUGAGUAUUUCCCGUUAAAGUUACUGGCUAGUCUUGAUGAGCAGUUGCAACAUCCCAAGUGGGUGGUACCAGUACGAGCUAAUGAUGAACUGGAGACAUUAAUUAAAGCAUCAAUUAAACUAGCGAAA